rnacentral:rRNA from 1 species
ACUGCUCAGUAACACGUAGUCAACAUGCCCAGGGGACGUGGAUAACCUCGGGAAACUGAGGAUAAACCGCGAUAGGUCAUCACUUCUGGAAUGGGUAAUGACUUAAAUCUAUAUGGCCCCUGGAUUGGACUGCGGCCGAUCAGGCUGUUGGUGAGGUAAUGGCCCACCAAACCUGUAACCGGUACGGGCUCUGAGAGGAGGAGCCCGGAGAUGGGCACUGAGACAAGGGCCCAGGCCCUAUGGGGCGCAGCAGGCGCGAAACCUCUGCAAUAGGCGAAAGCUUGACAGGGUUACUCUGAGUGAUUUCCGUUAAGGAGAUCUUUUGGCACCUCUAAAAAUGGUGCAGAAUAAGGGGUGGGCAAGUCUGGUGUCAGCCGCCGCGGUAAUACCAGCACCCCGAGUGGUCGGGACGUUUAUUGGGCCUAAAGCAUCCGUAGCCGGUUCUACAAGUCUUCCGUUAAAUCCACCUGCUUAACAGAUGGGCUGCGGAAGAUACUAUAGAGCUAGGAGGCGGGAGAGGCAAGCGGUACUCGAUGGGUAGGGGUAAAAUCCGUUGAUCCAUUGAAGACCACCAGUGGCGAAGGCGGCUUGCCAGAACGCGCUCGACGGUGAGGGAUGAAAGCUGGGGGAGCAAACCGGAUUAGAUACCCGGGUAGUCCCAGCUGUAAACGAUGCAGACUCGGUGAUGAGUUGGCUUAUUGCUAACUCAGUGCCGCAGGGAAGCCGUUAAGUUUGCCGCCUGGGGAGUACGGUCGCAAGACUGAAACUUAAAGGAAUUGGCGGGGGAGCA